rnacentral:rRNA from 1 species
AAAAACUCCGGUGGUAUGGGAUGGGCCCGCGUCUGAUUAGGCAGUUGGCGGGGUAACGGCCCACCAAACCGACGAUCAGUAGCCGGCCUGAGAGGGCGACCGGCCACAUUGGGACUGAGACACGGCCCAAACUCCUACGGGAGGCAGCAGUGGGGAAUAUUGCACAAUGGGGGAAACCCUGAUGCAGCGACGCCGCGUGAGCGAAGAAGUAUUUCGGUAUGUAAAGCUCUAUCAGCAGGGAAGAUAAUGACGGUACCUGACUAAGAAGCCCCGGCCAACUACGUGCCAGCAGCCGCGGUAAUACGUAGGGGGCAAGCGUUAUCCGGAUUUACUGGGUGUAAAGGGAGCGUAGACGGCAAGGCAAGUCUGAUGUGAAAACCCAGGGCUUAACCCUGGGACUGCAUUGGAAACUGUCUGGCUCGAGUGCCGGAGAGGUAAGCGGAAUUCCUAGUGUAGCGGUGAAAUGCGUAGAUAUUAGGAAGAACACCAGUGGCGAAGGCGGCUUACUGGACGGUAACUGACGUUGAGGCUCGAAAGCGUGGGGAGCAAACAGGAUUAGAUACCCUGGUAGUCCACGCCGU